ACAAUGGGUGACUAGGGUUCCGGUCCGGGCGAAUCUGCAACAGCAGCCCGGAUGGCUGGUCCGAGAGUUACCGACCUCUGGGAGGUUACACGGCGGGACAAAAGCCCGGGAGAC
rnacentral:sRNA from 2 species